UCUCUCGUAGCUUAGUAGUCAGAGUAUUGAUGCAUAAAGCCAAAGGUCCCGGGAUCGAUUCCCGGCGAGGGUA
rnacentral:tRNA from 1 species